AGAGUUUGAUCAUGGCUCAGAACGAACGCUGGCGGCAGGCUUAACACAUGCAAGUCGAACGCCCGUAGCAAUACGGGAGUGGCAGACGGGUGAGUAACGCGUGGGAAUCUCCCCAAAGGUACGGAACAACUCAGGGAAACUUGAGCUAAUACCGUAUGUGCCCGAGAGGGCAAAGAUUUAUCGCCUUUGGAUGAGCCCGCGUUGGAUUAGCUAGUUGGUGGGGUAACGGCCUACCAAGGCGACGAUCCAUAGCUGAUCUGAGAGGAUGAUCAGCCACACUGGGACUGAGACACGGCCCAGACUCCUACGGGAGGCAGCAGUGGGGAAUCUUGGACAAUGGGCGAAAGCCUGAUCCAGCCAUGCCGCGUGAGUGAAGAAGGCCUUAGGGUUGUAAAGCUCUUUUACCCGGGAAGAUGAUGACGGUACCGGGAGAAUAAGCCCCGGCAAACUUCGUGCUAGCAGCCGCGGUAAUAC
rnacentral:rRNA from 1 species